rnacentral:sRNA from 1 species
AUUAUUCGAGGUUUAUAUAUAUAAAAUUUAUCUGGGGGAUAUGUGGGCCCUGUUCUUUGAUUGAUCGCUACGUCAGCUACCUGCGAUCUAAAAAAAGCUUUCAUCUCUCUUUCACUUUCAUUUCUUCUCUCUUUCAUCUCUGCCGCAGCGACUGUAAUUCGGCCAUUCUAUAGACGCUGAAAUUUUCAACGUCUCAAAUUCCCUUUCUCCUAUCUCUUCAGAUCUAUCGCUGCGACUCUUUCAUUCAUCUCACCUUCAUCUCUCAUUCUUUUUUCUUUUAUAUUUUGUGCCGCCGGUGCUUGUCGCAGCGAUCAACAAAAGAACAGGGUAAUAGUCAAGCCAUUCAUCCCAAAAAAUCUAAAAUAGUAGAGAUGUUCAU